rnacentral:rRNA from 1 species
UACGUAGGGUGCAAGCGUUAAUCGGAAUUACUGGGCGUAAAGCGUGCGCAGGCGGUUGUGUAAGACAGAUGUGAAAUCCCCGGGCUCAACCUGGGAAUUGCGAUGGAGACUGCAAGGCUAGAAUCUGGCAGAGGGGGGUAGAAUUCCACGUGUAGCAGUGAAAUGCGUAGAUAUCGAGAGGAACACCUGCGGCGAAGGCGGGUUGCUGGGCUGACACUGACGCUGAUGCGCGAAAGCUAGGGGAGCGAACGGG